AGGACGAACGCUGGCGGCGCGCUUAACACAUGCAAGUCGAACGGUGAACGGGGCUUCGGCCCUGGAAUCAGUGGCGAACGGGUGAGUAACACGUGAGCAAUCUGCCCUUCACACGGGGAUAACUCCGGGAAACCGGUGCUAAUACCCGAUACGACCACUUCAGGCAUCUGAUGGUGGUGGAAAGUUCUGGCGGUGAAGGAUGAGCUCGCGGCCUAUCAGCUUGUUGGUGGGGUAAUGGCCCACCAAGGCAACGACGGGUAGCCGGCCUGAGAGGGUGACCGGCCACACUGGGACUGAGACACGGCCCAGACUCCUACGGGAGGCAGCAGUGGGGAAUAUUGGACAAUGGGCGAAAGCCUGAUCCAGCAACGCCGCGUGAGGGAUGACGGCCUUCGGGUUGUAAACCUCUUUCAGCAGGGACGAAGCGAAAGUGACGGUACCUGCAGAAGAAGCACCGGCCAACUACGUGCCAGCAGCCGC
rnacentral:rRNA from 1 species